CGAAAGGGUGACCGAGCGACGCCGCGUGCGGGAUGAAGGGCUUCGGCUUGUAAACCGCUUUUCCUUGGGAAGAAGGCUUCUCUCGUGAAGAGAAGUUUGACGGUACCAGGGGAAUAAGCCCCGGCUAACUCCGUGCCAGCAGCCGCGGUAAGACGGAGGGGGCAAGCGUUGUUCGGAAUUAUUGGGCGUAAAGAGCACGUAGGCGGUUCUGCAAGUCGGCUGUGAAAGCCUUCCGCUCAACGGAAGAACAGCAGUUGAUACUACAGGACUAGAGUGCGGGAGGGGAGAGUGGAACUUCUGGUGGAGCGGUGAAAUGCGUAGAUAUCAGAAGGAACGCCGGCGGCGAAAGCGACUCUCUGGCCCGUAACUGACGCUGAGUGUGCGAAAGCUAGGGGAGCAAACGGGAUUAGAUACCCCGGUAGUCCUAGCCGU
rnacentral:rRNA from 1 species